rnacentral:misc_RNA from 1 species
AAGACUAUAGACCUGCGGAGUACCUGCGGAAGGAUCAUUAACGAUUUCGGUGUAAAAAACCGUUUUCUACCUAUGUCUACGCGUACCACUUGUUUCCUCGGGGGGCUUGCCCCCCGCUAGGACCCUUUAUCAAACCUUUUUGUAAUAGCAGUCAGCGUCUGAUACUACGUUAAUUAUUAAAACUUUCAGCAAUGGAUCUCU